rnacentral:misc_RNA from 1 species
UUUCCGUAGGUGAACCUGCGGAAGGAUCAUUAAAAAAUUGGACUCCAUUGGUGAGUUCAUUAAUAAUCCCUACCCUUUGUGAAUUUGUUUGUUUGAAUAAUUUUUUCUCCAAAAAAAAUUAUUGAAUGUCUUUCCUUGUUUUGGUGGAGCUUGUAAAGUGAAACCAGGCAGGGGAAUGGCAAACAAUAAUUAUUUUUGAAAAAGACCUUUUUUUAAAAUUAAACUUUUGUAUUCAUUUGUCUAAAAUUAAUUUUUAUAAUAUAAAAACAACUUUUGACAAUGGAUCUCUUGGUUCUCGCAACGAUGAAGAACGCAGCAAAAUGCGAUAAGUAGUGUGAAUUGCAGAAUACGUGAAUCAUCGAAUCUUCGAACGCAUAUUGCACUUUUUUAGUUUACUAAAAAAGUAUGUCUGUUUGAGUAUCAGUAAAAUAUUCUCAUAAAAAACAUUGUUUUUUUUAUGGUUAUGAGUGUUUUACAACGAUAACAAGUUGUUUCACUUUAAAUUCUUUGUUAUCAAAAAAAUCAUUAAAAGCUAAUUUUAAAGAUUUUUUAAAAUUGGAUAAAAUUUUCCCGUAAAAAGGAAUAACCUAAACAAUUUUAAAAAAUUAAAAUUGGUUUGAUUUUUUUUGAAACCCAAAGGAAAAAAAAACGAAAUUAACUUGAUCUCAAAUCAGAUAAGAGUACCCGCUGAACUUAGGCAUAUCAAUAAGCGGAGGAAAAGAAACUAACUAGGAUUCCCUCAGUAACGGCGAGUGAAGCGGGAAGAGCUCAAAUUUGAAAUCUUCAAGGUUUUACCUUGACGAAUUGUAGUUUAAAGAAGUGUUUUCUGUUGGAGUUUUGGUAAAAGUUCUUUGGAGAAGGACAUCAUAGAGGGUGAGAAUCCCGUAUUUGACCAUUAUCUCCAGCUUUGUGAUACACUUUCAAAGAGUCGGAUUGUUUGGGAAUGCAGUCCAAAAUGGGUGGUAAAUUUCAUCUAAAGCUAAAUACUGGCGAGAGACCGAUAGCGAACAAGUACCGUGAGGGAAAGAUGAAAAGAACUUUGAAAAGAGAGUUAAACAGUACGUGAAAUUGUCAAAAGGGAAGCGUUUGACACCAGUGUUGUUUUCUCGAAAAUCAAUUAAAAAAGGCCGGAUUUUGUGUUGUAUUGACUUUAUCAGCUUUCUGCACUCUUUUCUUGUCUUUUUUAAUGCACUUUUCGUUUAACAAGUCAACAUCAAUUUCUUUUGUUGUAAAAGGGUCAUUGGAAGGUGGCUUUCUUUUCGGAGAAAGUGUUUAUAGCCUUUGGCCUCUGCAAUCGGAGAGAUUGAGGUCUGCAGCGUAGAUCCUUCGGGGUUAGAUACAUUUGUGCUAAGUUAUAGCCUUUCAUAGACAACUUGUUGACUAUGAUCAGUCAUGUAGCUUACUCGCUUAUGCUAUUU